AUGGUUUCACGUUCAGCCUCCCUCGCCCUCAAGGCGGCCGCCGUCGCCGCCCUCAUCGCCAUGCUUUUCGUGCCUUCCUUUGGGCGCUGCGGAUCGGCACCACCACCGCCACCGCCCACACCACCACCGCCAAUGCCUACAUCACCACCGCCGGCGCCGGCGCCGGCGCCGGGACCGAUGCCGGCGAUGACAUGCGGCAACUGUGUUUCGCAGUGCUAUCGGCCGUGCGUCGACGACAUUCCCAAGAAAUGCUUCGUGCCGUGCAAAAGAGACUGCGAGAGGUGCCAUACAAGUGCGAUGGAGGAUUGCAUGUCCCGUAGCUGCAACGGCCCCUGUACAGAGGAGUACUGCAGGAGUAACUACAACUUCGAGGCCAGGUGCCGCAGUGAGUGCAGCAGCCGAAACUGCCGCGAUUGCACGCUUUCAUCUGAGUACAAGUGUAGGUUCUCGUGCAUCGACUACUGCAACGCGACCAACUGCAUGAAUCCAUAUCCAUAA
rnacentral:rRNA from 1 species